GACGAACGCUGGCGGCGUGCUUAACACAUGCAAGUCGAACGGUAAGGCCCUUCGGGGUACACGAGUGGCGAACGGGUGAGUAACACGUGGGUGAUCUGACCUGCACUUCGGGAUAAGCCUGGGAAACUGGGUCUAAUACCGGAUAGGACUCCGGACUGCAUGGUCUGGGGUGGAAAGCUUUUGCGGUGUGGGAUGGGCCCGCGGCCUAUCAGCUUGUUGGUGGGGUGAUGGCCUACCAAGGCGACGACGGGUAGCCGGCCUGAGAGGGUGACCGGCCACACUGGGACUGAGAUACGGCCCAGACUCCUACGGGAGGCAGCAGUGGGGAAUAUUGCACAAUGGGCGCAAGCCUGAUGCAGCGACGCCGCGUGAGGGAUGACGGCCUUCGGGUUGUAAACCUCUUUCAGCAUCGACGAAGCGAAAGUGACGGUAGGUGCAGAAGAAGGACCGGCCAACUACGUGCCAGCCGCCGCCGUAAGAC
rnacentral:rRNA from 1 species